rnacentral:misc_RNA from 1 species
GGCGGGCCCUUUAGCCAUUGGUUGUCGAUUUGAUUUCAAGGUGUCCCGUGUCCCGUGGGUUGUUAAAGGUCAAAUCGGUGGACUUUUGGUUAGACUGACGCGUUGGCGUGUGAGUGGCUAACUGAAUGUUUGUGUUGGCUGGCUCCCUGCUUUCGCAGCGAACUGUCAGCGCAUACAUAUAUCAGUCGGGUCAAUGUUAUGUUUGUUGGAUUUUUGUGUUGCCUACCCAAUUGAUGGAAUUCUUAUGGCGGCUGAUGUGUGUACAUUCGUCGAACACCCCUUGAGGUGCUAGGCGUACGUUGAAGCUACCCCUAUUUUUGCCAUGCUCUUUCGUUUUGUGAACCAUGGAAAAUAGGCGGUAUUGCUUGUUGCCUCGGAUGCAGAGCAUGAAGCGAGUAUGUUGCCUGUCCUCAUUGCUCAUUCAGAGCUCUCUCGAUUGCUCGUAAAGAGAGACCGCCGCGCUUGGUUUUGGGUGUCGACUUGUCGAUAUAGCCCUUAGCCUUGCCGACGUCUUCAAUGAUGCUACCUGGUGAUCCAGCCAGUAGUCAUAGU